AAUCCCCUGCAAUGUUCGUGAUUAGCUUUUGUUUUUUGAACCAUCACUUUGUACUGGGAACCCUUCCUUGUUAGUGGUGAGCAGGUCUGUCGGUAUUUCUUAGGAGAUACUCGCGGAAAGCCUAAAGCAGCAACAGGGAGCCACUUUUUUAGUAAGGUUCAAAAGGAAUGUUAACACGGCAUCUGCGGGGGACCC
rnacentral:other from 1 species